CCUACGUGGGGCAGCAGUGGGGAAUAUUGGACAAUGGGCGAAAGCCUGAUCCAGCCAUGCCGCGUGUGUGAAGAAGGCCUUCGGGUUGUAAAGCACUUUCAGUGGGGAAGAAAGCCUUUGGGCUAAUACCCUCGAGGAAGGACAUCACCCACAGAAGAAGCACCGGCUAACUCCGUGCCAGCAGCCGCGGUAAUACGGAGGGUGCGAGCGUUAAUCGGAAUUACUGGGCGUAAAGCGCGCGUAGGCGGUCUGAUAAGCCGGUUGUGAAAGCCCCGGGCUCAACCUGGGAACGGCAUCCGGAACUGUCAGGCUAGAGUGCAGGAGAGGAAGGUAGAAUUCCCGGUGUAGCGGGGAAAUGCGUAGAGAUCGGGAGGAAUACCAGUGGCGAAGGCGGCCUUCUGGACUGACACUGACGCUGAGGUGCGAAAGCGUGGGUAGCAAACAGGAUUAGAUACCCUUGUAGU
rnacentral:rRNA from 1 species